rnacentral:rRNA from 1 species
ACGCUCGACACCUACGGGAUGCAGCAGUGGGGAAUAUUGGGCAAUGGAGGCAACUCUGACCCAGCAACGCCGCGUGAAUGAUGAAGGUCUUCGGAUUGUAAAGUUCUGUGACGGGGGACGAACACAAUGACGGUACCCCGAUAGCAAGCCACGGCUAACUACGUGCUAGCAGCCGCGGUAAUCUGAGCGGGCUGGCAAGGC